CAAAGACUUAACUUGUAAGCUGACUACCUUC
rnacentral:piRNA from 1 species